rfam:Arabis alpina cultivar Pajares Aa.chr4_contig_343, whole genome shotgun sequence.
AGAAUGAGAUUGAGCCAAGGAUGACUUGCCGAUUUUACAAACAAAUCUUUAACCGGUUUUGGUGUUCGGCAAGUUGACCUUGGCUUUGUUUCCUUCUCU